CUUUGUGUAUGAGGUUCUCUUCCGCGUCAUCCUUUACCCAGUGAACACGUGGUGGUUCCUUGUCCUUUCCUGCUCUUGGGAUUCGCUUCCUAGACCCUUUCCUACCCCUUGCUUUUGGUAGCCACGUGCAUUUAGGAAUUAAUUAUUAAAGUUAUUUCCAAAUCGUACUAGUAAAUUGCCUCCCUGCAGCACAGAAUACUUAUUGUCUUUUCUGUGCCCUGCAAUGCCAUAAAACAAGUAUACAAGUGAUAUAGUUCUUGUGACCUGUGUUUUUAGAUUUUUAACCAAAUAAAAGUAACAAAAUAUUUGAAAAUCAAAUUUGAAGCAUCCAAGAAACUGCUUUUUCUGUGACUAGAGCUUUUCAUAUUUUACACAAGUCACAAACAAAAAGAAAAGGAGACCCUGUAAAUGUGAUAGUGAAUUAUUUAUUUUAACAUCAGUAGUGAAGAGCCAAGAAUUAUCCUACUGUACAACCUUAGUUGUUAUCCACACAUCACUUUGGUAAUUCUAGGGAGCAUCAUAAUAUUAUUAUACUUCAUACACUUACCAUUAACGUAGUACCUAGUUUUACUAGAAAAUUUAAAAAAAUGUAUGCUAAAAACUUAUUUAAAAGAAAUUGCUACCGUAAGGUAGCCAAAGAUGUGGAAAAUUGCAUGUUAUUUUUAGACAAUUCUUUGGAACACACACAAUCUUUAUCCUUGCAUUCCCAAAAUGAUGUACCUCGAACCUCCCCUCCCUUAACAGAAGCUAUGGCAGCAACUCUAUGUAACUUUUCAAGUAAUUCAGACUGUGGAAAUGAUGAACCGAAUGGUAAUUUGCCUUCAUGUUCAGGUGCCAGAAUAAAGGAGCCAGAAAUAGAAGGUGUACUGCCAGUUAGCAAUGUAUCCAUCUACAAUUUUAAAGAAAGUUUCGAAUCUCAAUUGGGUCAAUGGGCAACUGAAGAGAAUAUUGCUUUGGCAUCUCUAGGAAAAUUAUUAAGGAUUCUUCAAACAUGUUCAGAUAAAGAGCUCAAAAACCUUCCAGUUGAUCCCCGUACCCUUCUUAGAACACCAAAAAACACUGACUGCAAAUUACUUGGCUCAGGAAAUUAUUUUUAUUUUGGAAUUCAGAAUACUAUUAACAUUUUAUUUGCUAAAUUUACCCUGAACCCAGAACUAAUUAACAAUAUUGAAAUUGCAGUCAAUGUGGAUGGGUUACCUCUUCAUAAGAGUACUGGAAAUUCCUUUUGGCCCAUAUUGUGCUUAAUCAAAUCAAUUGAAGUACUUAAUAAGGAAGUUUUUAUGGUAGCCCUCUUCCAAGGCCCAAACAAACCUCCUGCAAAUGAAUUAAUUUUUGAUUUUGUUUCAGAAUGCACUAAUCUAGUAAAUAAUGGAAUUAAAAUAGAAAAUUUUAUUAUUCCAUUUAAAGUAAAGAUGAUAAUUUGUGAUAUGCCAGCUAAAUCAUAUAUUUUAUCUGUUAAGGGCCACAGUGGAUAUUUCUCAUGCACCAAAUGUUGCACAGAAGGGACUAUUUAUGAGGGUAUUGUAUGUUUUGAUGAAUUGAACUGUGCUAAGAGAAAUGAUGUUAAUUUUAGAAAUAAAACUCAAGAAGAGCAUCACACAGGCAAUACCAUUUUACAAAAUAUACCUAAAUUUGAUAUGAUUGAAGAUAUACCCCUUGACUAUAUGCAUUGCAUUCUUUUAGGAGUCACAAAAAGAAUGUUCUGUCAAAAAAAGUAUGGCCUGAUAUUUGGAAAACCUCCUUUUAAAUUGCCUGCACAGAAAGUUUUACUUCUAAACAAAAAACUAAAAUAUUUAAAAAAGUUUAUUCCCUUUGAAUUCUCACGAAGAAAAACCCGAGAUAUUAAUGAAAUAAAAAGAUAUAAAGCUACUGAGUUCCGUUUAUUAUUACUAUAUACAGGACCAAUUGUCCUAAAAAAUGUCGUUUCUAAAAAGAUAUAUCAUCUAUUUUUAAUGCUAUCAAUAGCCACUUUAAUUUUAGCAAGUAAAGAAUUUUCUGUAAAUGAAAGUUUGGUUGGAUUUGCCAUAUCAUUGCAAGAACAUUUUAUUAUGAACUGUAGAAAGGUGUACAGCUUAGGUUUUGUAUCAUUAAAUGUACAUAGUCUUUUACAUAUAGGUGAUUGUGUGAAUCGUUUUGGAAGCCUUGAUAAUUUUAGCUCUUUUUUGUUUGAAAACUACAUGCAGCAAAUUAAAAAAAAAAUUCGCAAAUCUUCACAGCCUAUACAACAAAUAAUUAAAAGAAUUUCUGAGGAUAAUAAUUUCAUUAGUCCAAUGGAAGUUAAACCUUUUACUGUGCAUUUUUCUCUACAACAUAAUAAUGGCCCACUACUGCCUGGUUUAACAAGCCCACAAUUUAAAAAAUACAUAGAAAAGGACUUUUUAAUUAAUGCUAAUAAAUUAGCAGAUAGUUUUGUGCAGUUAAAUGAUAAUACAAUAGUGGAAGUUAAAAAUUUUGCCACAAAUUCAAAUGGCAAUGUUAAUUUUAUUGGUUUCUUGUAUGAAAGCAAUAAUGAUUUUUUUUCAAAACCAUGCCCAUCUUCAUUUGUCAAUGUUUCCAUGAUAUGCAAAAAAUGUAUUGAAUUGAAAUCAUGGGAAGUUAGCCGUAUAAGAAAGAAAGUUGUUGUCUUACCAUUUGAAGGAAAGCUUGUGUGUUUUCCAUUAUUGCAUCUAUAAAUUAUAUUUUGUAAAUGUACUGGCCGGUCUAACAUGGUCUAAAGAGUAAAUUUUUUACUUUCUAAAUUUUUUUACUUUACUUUUGUAUUUUUUUAAAAGAAAAUAAUAUUCAUUUAAUGGCGUUUUUUAUGUGAAAAACUAUAAAAUUAUAGGUCCUGUUUAGUUCUUAUUGAAACAUCCUGUAUAUUAGUGUUUUUGUAUCUUUAAAUGAUAUUGCAAUUAUAUUGAAGUAACAAAUUGUAUAUAAUUCUAUGGUUGUGAAGCAUUGAAAAUGUGGUACGUAGUUGCAUUCACUAAAGAAAGUAGUGUAGCCACUGUGCCAUUAAGCUGGUAUAUAGAAAAGUCAUCUGAGUGUUUUUGGCCUCCUUCAAUAGUAAAAAGGGCCACUCUUGAAAAGCUGAUCAAAGAUAAAGUCCUCCCAGAAGAAGACUGGAAACCAUUUAAGGCUGAGAUCCUAGGAAAAUAUAGUGAUUAUAAGCAAGCCAUGGCUAAGCUUCAAAAAGCAAAAAGUUCAGAUAAGCUUACUACGACAGAUGAUAAUGAAGAUAAGGGAAAGGGAAAACGAAAGAGAAAACCAUCUCACAAAAUUCAUAAUACAAGUUCAUCUGAUGCAGAUGAGAGUAGCGGUUCAGUCAACUCUUUAUCAUUUCCUAGUUUUUCAAAACAUUUGCAAACAAGUGAUUUUGCAAAUUAUGAAGUUUAUCCUUCGCGGAAUGCAAAUAAAAGUUCCAGAGACUUUAAUAUGCCAAAGAGGUCCAGAUCUCUUUCUCCCUUUAAAGAAGCCAUUACUUUUUCACCCCAAGAUUCUCAACGACGUUCUGAGCGAGAAGAUAUUUAUCCCAAAAGAAAAGAAGACAUGUACAAGAGAAAAUCAUUGCUGCAACAGAAUUUAUUUGAGAACGGACAUAAGCAAACAGAAAUCACGCAACCAGCUGGAGAAAAGUUGGUGCAAAUAUUUGAAUUAUUACAGAAAAUUCAGGCUGAUUCAUCAGAAUUUAGAGUGCAAGUGCUAAGAAAACUGAAUAUAAUAAAUAUAAAAAUUAAUGAUUUGGAGACCACAAUAGAGAAUUUAAAAAAUAACUCAAAUAUACCAGAAAAUGAAGAAAUGCUAUUUGAAGAUUUUAUUAAUUUAUUUCCAUUGGAUAUGGAAAAACUUAAUACACUGGAAAAUGUGCUGCUGAACCAAAAUGAGAUGAAAAAGUUGACAAAGUACUUAAGUCGUGUAGGGGGUAGUGACGUAUCUGAAAUUGUCAAAAGAUUGAUGUACAAGAUAUUUACUAAUGAACUUGGAACUUUAUUUAGUUGGGAUGGUGCAAAGGGCAAGUUAAAAUUUAAAAAUUUAAGAAUUGCCACUGUAAUUUUAGAUACUGUGCGAAAUAAUCCAUCCACAAAAGAUUCAACAGAAGCAGAUGUUAUAAUACAUGUAAAGAAAUGGUUAGUCCGAGCAAAGGAGAGAAUACAUUUGGAAAACAAACAAAAAAGACAAAAUAGGAAUGACAUGCAUGAGAGUGAACCAAGGAGUAAGGAGCCAAGCUCUUCUUGAAUAUUUCAGUUUUAUUGCUUGUAAAUUGAAUUUGUUGAAUAAAUGGAGUUCAAUGAAAAA